rnacentral:rRNA from 1 species
GACGAACGCUGGCGGCGUGCUUAACACAUGCAAGUCGAACGGAAAGGCCCUGCUUUUGUGGGGUGCUCGAGUGGCGAACGGGUGAGUAACACGUGAGUAACCUGCCCUUGACUUUGGGAUAACUUCAGGAAACUGGGGCUAAUACCGGAUAGGAGCUCCUGCUGCAUGGUGGGGGUUGGAAAGUUUCGGCGGUUGGGGAUGGACUCGCGGCUUAUCAGCUUGUUGGUGGGGUAGUGGCUUACCAAGGCUUUGACGGGUAGCCGGCCUGAGAGGGUGACCGGCCACAGUGGGACUGAGAUACGGCCCAGACUCCUACGGGAGGCAGCAGUGGGGAAUAUUGCACAAUGGGCGGAAGCCUGAUGCAGCAACGCCGCGUGCGGGAUGACGGCCUUCGGGUUGUAAGCCGCUUUCGCCUGUGACGAAGCGUGAGUGACGGUAAUGGGUAAAGAAGCACCGGCUAACUACGUG